UAGGAUGUGGCUGCGGUUGAUUAGGUAGACGGUGGGGUAACNGCCCACCGUGCCCAUAAUCAGUACAGGUUGUGAGAGCAAGAACCUGGAGACGGAAUCUGAGACAAGAUUCCGGGCCCUACGGGGCGCAGCAGGCGCGAAACCUUUACACUGCACGCACGUGCGAUAAGGGGACUCCGAGUGCGAGGGCAUAUUGUCCUCGCUUUCGUGUACCGUAGGGUGGUACACCAACAAGGGCUGGGCAAGACCGGUGCCAGCCGCCGCGGUAAUACCGGCAGCCCGAGUGAUGGCCGAUCUUAUUGGGCCUAAAGCGUCCGUAGCUGGCUACGCAAGUCCGUCGGGAAAUCCACUCGCCCAACGAGUGGGCGUCCGACGGAAACUGCAUAGCUUGGGACCGGAAGGCUCGAAGGGUACGUUCGGGGUAGGAGUGAAAUCCCAUAAUCCCGCACGGACCACCGAUGGCGAAAGCACUUCGAGAAAACGGAUCCGACAGUGAGGGACGAAAGCCAGGGUCUCCAACCGGAUUAGAUACCCGGGUAGUCCUGGCCGUAAACAAUGUUCGCUAGGUAUGACACAGACUACGCGUCUCUGUUGUGCCGUAGGGAAGCCGAGAAGCGAACCGCCUGGGAAGUACGUCUGCAAGGAUGAAACUUAAAGGAAUUGGCGGGGGAGCACUACAACCGGAGGAGCCUGCGGUUUAAUUGGAUUCAA
rnacentral:rRNA from 1 species